AUUGAACGCUGGCGGCAGGCCUAACACAUGCAAGUCGAACGGUAACAGGAAGAAGCUUGCUUCUUUGCUGACGAGUGGCGGACGGGUGAGUAAUGUCUGGGAAACUGCCUGAUGGAGGGGGAUAACUACUGGAAACGGUAGCUAAUACCGCAUAACGUCGCAAGACCAAAGAGGGGGACCUUCGGGCCUCUUGCCAUCGGAUGUGCCCAGAUGGGAUUAGCUAGUAGGUGGGGUAACGGCUCACCUAGGCGACGAUCUCUAGCUGGUCUGAGAGGAUGACCAGCCACACUGGAACUGAGACACGGUCCAGACUCCUACGGGAGGCAGCAGUGGGGAAUAUUGCACAAUGGGCGCAAGCCUGAUGCAGCCAUGCCGCGUGUAUGAAGAAGGCCUUCGGGUUGUAAAGUACUUUCAGCGGGGAGGAAGGGAGUAAAGUUAAUACCUUUGCUCAUUGACGUUACCCGCAGAAGAAGCACCGGCUAACUCCGU
rnacentral:rRNA from 1 species